rnacentral:tRNA from 1 species
GCCUAGCUGGCUCAGUCAGUAAAGCAUGUGACUCUUGACCUCAGGGCUGUGAGUUCAAGCCCCACAUUGGGCA